UACGAGGGGUGCAAGCGUUGUUCGGAAUCACUGGGCGUAAAGGGAGCGUAGGCGGAACUCCAAGUCGGUCGUAUAAUACCAGGGCCCAACCCUGGAUCUGCGGCCGAGACUGGUUUUCUUGAGUUAUUUAGAGGCAAGCGGAAUUCCAGGUGUAGCGGUGGAAUGCGUAGAGAUCUGGAAGAACACCAAUGGCGAAGGCAGCUUGCUGGGAAUUAACUGACGCUGAGGCUCGAAAGUGUGGGUAGCAAACAGG
rnacentral:rRNA from 1 species